AUGCACACAAUCUUGCCAUACCAAAAACGAAAGGGAAAAAAUAAGAAUCAGCAUCUCACAUCACUGCAUGCUUCCCACAGAGGGUUAACGCUCCCGCUGAACCGGAUGCGAUUCCUGCUCCGUCUCAGUGUGUUGUCGUUGCACGGGCAAUGGCGGACGGAGCCCGAGCAUUUGUUUGAAAAACGUACGUUUUGCACAAAUAUACUCGAAUAUCGAUCGGCCAGUCAAAGCGUUCAGCUCGCACGUGUGUUUUUGGCCCUGAUCAGAUCUGCGCCCGUCAGCAUGGAUGUGAAUCUGACCAUCUCUCUGAUGCGGGGCCAGAUGGGCGCUGUUAUCGAGAAAGCCGUGAACGUCGCGGUGGAGACCGUGUUAGGAGAGAUGAUCCGGGUGGUCGGGCUCAAAUUUGAGGAGAUCAAACGUGACAUGACAGCUAAAGAGAAGGAGAAUGAGAACAUCAGGAGGAUGUUGGAGGCGUCCCGCUGUCAGAUGAAAACCAUGCGCAAGUACAUCAGCGUCCUGUCUGCUAAAGACCCCAACCAUAGACUGUAUCAGGGAGAUGGAGACAUGGCUACAACAUCCACAGGGAUGCACUGCAGAAGAGGUCCGACGAGCACUGUGUCAGUGUGUGCCAAAACCCCAGACCCCUGUCCCAGACCCAGACCCUCUGAGCCAGCCCCUGUAGCUGGACCCUCAUGGGUGAGACAGCAGAUGCACAUGUCCAAAGAAACAGUAAGAAGUGAGAAUCACAUUGCUGAUGUCCAUAUUGAAGAGAUCCAUGGAUCAUCAGUUCAUAAAGUUGAUAUCUCAAGCCCUCAUCUGGUGGACAGUCAGGCGCUUCUGUCUGAGACCAGUGAUCCAGUAUGGGGUCAGAACCCUCUCGCCUCUGCAGAGACUGGGCACUCAGACACGCCGGACACCAGCGUCCUCUCUGCACCCAUGAUGGCAGAUGAAAGUGUGUCAUCCCAAACUACAAGCACAGUGGGAUUUGGAGCACCUUCACUUAAAAUCAAACAGGAGGAAGCUGAGGUUGAAAUAGUCUGUGUGAAGGAUGAACACGCAGAAUCUGGCAACAUCCCUAGAUUUGAAUAUUCUGACCCUGAACUUCACCAGCCAGCGGGAGAACCAGAGCUCGGGGUCUCACUAGAUCUACCCGCAUCAUUUCAAGCUCUUCAGAGUCCAAGCACUUCAGCAGACUUUGCACUCCCAGCAUUCAUGAGUGUGGACCCAGCUACCUCUAUAUCAGAUGUGAGUCCAGGGAGUUUUGAAAAUAAUCAAUGUACAGCUGCAGAGAGGGCUAUUCUCGAGUCACAGGGAGAAAUGGACUGGAAAAUCAAUCACCUGACUGCACUGGUUCAGUGUCUUGUGGGGAACAGGUGCUUUGUGCCUCCACUGCAAAUGGAGGAUGAGGAAGAGGAUUGUGUCUUGCCUUUGAUGUCAAUGGAGGAUCUUGACCAAUUGGAGCAAAGACUUAUGGAUAGAGCGAUGAUGCAAAAAUUGGUAAGAUUCGUUGGAAUUAUGCAGUUAAAGAAGUGA
ensembl:lncRNA